GGCCGACUAGCUUAGUUGGUUAUAGUGUCGUCCUAAUAAGGCGAAGGUCUUGGGUUCGAUCCCCAAGUUGGCCA